rnacentral:misc_RNA from 1 species
AAAUUUAAGCCACAUAAAAAUAAUUAUAUGAUCCUCAACUUGGAUAAGAACCAUAUUGAGAUAGGACUGUCCAGGUUAAUGUCUAAGGAAACAUAACUUGUUCUUCUAUGGUCAGCCAUAGAUGAAUGUUGGAAAAGCCCACCAAAUUAACUUGUAAGAAGAACAAAAGGACACAUCUAACUAUGUUAUCUGAGCCUGUCUUCCAAAGUAAUGACCAAAUAUCAUGUAAUAGUUUUAAAUUGAACAAAGUAUGAGCGUUGACACAUGCAUGAUUAGCUCAUCAAGUAUAGAGGGAAGAAGGGGAAGAAGCAUGGUGCUUACUUCAUCAGCUACUAUAUCGAACAG